rnacentral:rRNA from 1 species
UACGAAGGGGGCUAGCGUUGCUCGGAAUCACUGGGCGUAAAGCGCACGUAGGCGGAUCUUUAAGUCAGGGGUGAAAUCCCGGGGCUCAACCUCGGAACUGCCUUUGAUACUGGGGAUCUCGAGUCCGGGAGAGGUGAGUGGAAUUGCGAGUGUAGAGGUGAAAUUCGUAGAUAUUCGCAAGAACACCAGUGGCGAAGGCGGCUCACUGGCCCGGUACUGACGCUGAGGUGCGAAAGCGUGGGGAGCAAACAGG